UACGGAGGGUGCAAGCGUUAUCCGGAUUCACUGGGUUUAAAGGGUGCGUAGGUGGAGUGGUAAGUCAGUGGUGAAAUCUCCAAGCUUAACUUGGAACUGCCGUUGAUACUAUCAUUCUUGAAUAUCGUGGAGGUAAGCGGAAUAUGUCAUGUAGCGGUGAAAUGCUUAGAUAUGACAUAGAACACCGAUUGCGAAGGCAGCUUACUACACGAUCAUUGACACUGAGGCACGAAAGCGUGGGGAUCAAACAGG
rnacentral:rRNA from 1 species